rnacentral:ncRNA from 1 species
GAAAGCCGUAUGCGGGAAAACCGCACGUACGGUUUGACGAGGGGGGAAGGCAUCCGUGCCUUUCUCUACUCUAC